CUGUACGUAGAAGACAACAGACAUAUGUAGGGUUCUUUAGUAGCAUGCUCUGCUUGCGUGGGUAUUUGAAGCCGUUGAGGCUUUUAAGUGUUGCAGGAAUAAUGUUUAGAACCUCAUAGCUAUCCUUGGCUGAGUCAAGUUAGAAGAAGUACUCGAGGAACCCCGUGGAGUAUAUAUAUCAUCGAUAUUCUCAUUGUAAUUCAGAACUCUCCUUGGGAGUAGCUGAUUUUAUAACUCUCAGGUUCUCAACUUCAAGGGAAUCAGGCCCUUUGUCUUCCGUGGCACGUGCAAAGUUCACGUUGCUCCCAAGUUAGCCAUUGUUUUUCUUUUGGGGUGCUUAUCAUCAAAACUGGGGUGAAGUCUGAGGAAAUUCUCGUUGGGCUUGUCAUCAUAGUGGACUGAAGUGGCACUGACCUUUUUUAUGUCAGCACUUGGCUUUGCUGCCAGGGAACAAUAUAGACCUCAACUCAUCUGCAUUUGGAAUAAAAGAAGAAUAGAAGAAUAAAAUAAAGAGAAAGGAGCAAUUAAAAAAUUUGAGAAAUAGGCCAAUCUAGCUAUUAGCUAUGUCCGGUGACAAAGAAAAUAAGGCAACUCAUAAACCCUCAAAUAAAAUGGUAGUUCUUUCUACAUACUAAACCAGGAUUUGUAGCUAAUCUAAGAGUAAACUAACAAUGGCAGAAACAAUAGUACAAAGUAAAUAGUACCAUAGUACCAUGCAGUCAGAGAAAAGUAUUGCAUUGAAGUUUGUAACAUGGAUGUUAAUGGUAAAAAAAAUGGAGAUUUCAAUCAGGCAAUUGCCUAAGUGUUCGGGAUCAGGGAGCAAUAACCACAAAAGUAAACAAUAAUUUCUCCAUGGAUCCUAAACUAUAUUCAUUUCAAGAAUUCUCUAUCCAUUUAUAUGUAAUUAAAUAAGGAUAUGUCAUCCCAUUAACAUAUUGAUGGUUGUCAUUUCUGUCUGAGCCACAUACAGUUUUAGUGUUUCAGAAACCAAAUGGAUCUUCUACUUUUGAUCUAUAUGUCAUAUGUGAAAUUAUUGUUUGAAAAAAGACGUAGGUCUAUUUACCAUGGUAUGUUCGUAUGCAUGUAAUACUUACUUCCAGCCUGCACAUUGUCAUAAUGAGGCCGUUUUGCUUUUUCUCAGUGUUCUACCCAGCUUUGGUUAUGUGGGUUUCUUCACUGGUUUUUUUCCUGCACAUCAUACAGUACAUGUUUAGGUAUCUUUAGAGCUGUUAGGUAUUAACUAUGGUCACAAUUUCCCCACACAGAAAAUAACCAAAAAUCAGAUGGUCUAUCAUCUGCAAAAUUUAGGCAGGCUUUGGUUAGCCUUUCUCGAACUAAUGAGGCAGAAAUUUAUGAACUAUAUAUUUUUUUACUUGUCGUAAGGCCGAGCUGUCUAUGUAGGAGGCUAUGGUUCUACUUUCUGUCUAUUUAGACAAUAAUGCACAAGGGUAAAAUAUCUGGAGAUUUAUUGAAGCUUAUAUGACGCAGGGGGAUAAAGUGGAAAGGAUGCAAUAAAAUUUGAGGGAGCUUGUUAUCAGACUGAAAACCACGAAACUACUGGGAUACAGUGAUACAGCUAGUGUCAAAACAUGGUGGCAUCCAAACGCCAGGCCAAUCGUAGCGAGUAAUGUCUACAAAAUUGGAAGCAUUUUUUAGAUAACAUGUUAUAAAUAAUCGUGGCUAUCAUAGAUAGGAACUAAUAGACAAAUAGAAAUAGGAAAGUUAAUAGGUUCAUAUAUAUUAAUCUAAACUUAGAGUUGAACUGGAAAAGCUUGUCUGCCCACCGCUGUGACUGCAAGUUACUGAUUGACUUUGAAAUACGAUGUGCAGAGUAAUUAGCCUCAGAUGACUUUAGGAAGAGACUUGUAUAUCUCGCUUUGUUUACAAAAAGAACUCAAAUAGCUGUACAAUACUAACUACUAAAUUUUAGCCUGACAAAAUAAAAUAAGGUUACAGUGAAGUAAUUGUGGUUCUAACUUCCUGAAAGUCCGCAUGGAGGUAACUUCAACUCCUAUCUUGUAAAAAAAACUUCAACUCCUAAGACUCAAAGUUUUCAGGGGUGGCCCGGUGUGCUGCUUGCCCAUUGCCUGAACUUCUUUCAAGUCCUCCUCAUGCAGCACUAUAUUAGCCGUUAAAAUAAAUUCAGUCGCACAAGAGAUAAUAUACACAAGAUCCAAACUAAUGUAUCCAUGGUUCCAACCAAAUCAGUGUGUAAGAAAAAGUAAAAGUUGUCAAUAAACGUUCACUUAUUUACCUGCAGGUAUCCAAUCCAACACAAAAGUAUGGAAGCAAAAGGAUUACCCUGCAGGCCAUCCACCGUGGCACCGCGUGACAGCCGCCGUGAUUCGAGAGCACAAGCACCGGAGGAGAUCCGCUGCCUGCUGCUGCGCACGUCCAUGAGGGAGAGGGGAUCUGGGGAUGGUAUGAAAUAGGAGAAGAAGAGGGUGACAUACCGGCAGAUGCAACCACGGAGCUGAGCCAC
rnacentral:lncRNA from 1 species